GGGUCAGUAGGUUGGUCGUGCCACCGGUACGUACUGGUCUCGCUGAUUCCUCCUUCCUGAAGAACCGUAAUGCCAUUAAUUUGGUGUUGCGGGGGAACAGGACUGUUACUUUGAAAAAAUUAGAGUGUUUAAAGCAAGCUAACGCUUGAAUACAUUAGCAUGGAAUAAUGAAAUAGGACGAUCGAUCCUAUUUUGUUGGUUUCUAGGAUUGACAUA
rnacentral:rRNA from 1 species